UACGAAGGGGGCUAGCGUUGUUCGGAUUUACUGGGCGUAAAGCGCGUGUAGGCGGACUUGUAAGUUGGGGGUGAAAUCCCGAGGCUCAACCUCGGAACUGCCUCCAAAACUACAAGUCUGGAGCAAGAUAGAGGCAAGUGGAAUUGCGAGUGUAGAGGUGAAAUUCGUAGAUAUUCGCAGGAACACCAGUGGCGAAGGCGACUUGCUGGAUCUUUGCUGACGCUGAGGCGCGAAAGCGUGGGGAGCAAACAGG
rnacentral:rRNA from 1 species